ensembl:misc_RNA Metazoa_SRP Metazoan signal recognition particle RNA
GCUGGUGUAGUGGUAUACACCUGUAGUCUCAGCUACUCAGGAGGAUGAGGCAGGAGGAUUGCUUGAGCUCCAGAAUUCUGGGCUGUAGUGCACUAUGCCUAUCAGGUGUCCACAUUAAGUUUGGCAUCAAGUGAUGACCUUCUGGGAGCAAGGGACCACCACUUUUCCUAAGGAGUGGUGAACCGGCCCAGGUUGGAAAUGUAGCAGGUCAAAACUCCUGCACUGAUCAGUACUGGAAUGGCACCUGUGAAUACCCACUGCACUCCAGCCUGAACAACAUUGUGAGACCCUCUCUCUA